rnacentral:lncRNA from 1 species
CUGCCUCUCUCUCUGUGUGUGUCUCCACUUGUAAUUUAUCACUUAGCUGUUGAAAAACUAGUUUGUACGAUCUACUUCCUUUUCCAUAGCAUGGAUUUUGCUAAGUCGGGGAGGUAUUGGAACAAAUGGCCCUCACACUCAGGGCUGCAGAUCAUUGGAGCAUCAGACCAGAGGACAAAGGAUGGACCAUAGCAUAGCAUCUCAUGAUUUGCAGAUACAGCCUACGGCAGUGGGCUGCAACCCAGAGAAAUAUUCACUUCCAGAGACUCCAUGGACCAGAUAGGCAUCAUCACCAACAGCUCCAAGUAUUU